AGUGAACGCUGGCGGUGUGCCUAACACGUGCAAGUCGAACGGCAGCACAGUAAGAUCUUUCUCUUACGGUUGGCGAGGGGCGGAUGGGUGACACAUACAUCGGAUUCUUCUUUUUCUUGGGUGAUAACGGGGAGAAACUUACGCUAAUACCGCAUAUAAUCUACGGCAUAGUUCAGUGGUUCUUGGGGGUUUUCGCGUUUCUAUUAGCCGAUGUCGGAUUAGCUAGUUGGCGUGGUAACGUCUCACCAAGGCGACGAUCCGUAGCGGGUCUGAGAGGAUGAUCAGCCACACUGGAACUGAGACACGGUCCAGACUCCUACGGGAGGCAGCAGUGGGGAAUCUUGGACAAUGGGCGAAAGCCUGACCGAGCAAUGCCGCGUGGGUGAAGAAGGCCUUCGGGUUGUAAAGCCCUUUUGUUGGGAAAGAAAAACUGCAGAUUAAUACAUGGAUGUUUUGACGGCACCCAAUGAAUAAGCAACGGCUAACUUCGUG
rnacentral:rRNA from 1 species